CGGAGGGGCUAGCGUUGUUCGGAAUUACUGGGCGUAAAGCGCACGUAGGCGGCUUGGUAAGUUAGAGGUGAAAGCCUGGAGCUCAACUCCAGAAUUGCCUUUAAGACUGCCGAGCUAGCAGGUGAGAGAGGUAAGUGGAAUUCCGAGUGUAGAGGUGAAAUUCGUAGAUAUUCGGAAGAACACCAGUGGCGAAGGCGGCUUACUGGCUCAUACUGGACGCUGAGGUGCGAAAGCGUGGGGAGCAAACAGGAUU
rnacentral:rRNA from 1 species